UUGGGAGACUUGAUCUCUUAGUGGCGCAGUUAACGCGAUAAGUAGACCGCCUGGGGAGUACGGCCGCAAGGUUAAAACUCAAAUGAAUUGACGGGGGCCCGCACAAGCGGUGGAGCAUGUGGUUUAAUUCGACGCAACGCGAAGAACCUUACCAGGUCUUGACAUCCUAGAAACUUAGCAGAGAUGCUUUGGUGCCUUCGGGAAUCUAGUGACAGGUGCUGCAUGGCUGUCGUCAGCUCGUGUCGUGAGAUGUUGGGUUAAGUCCCGUAACGAGCGCAACCCUUGUCCUUAGUUGCCAGCACGUAAUGGUGGGAACUCUAAGGAGACUGCCGGUGACAAACCGGAGGAAGGUGGGGACGACGUCAAGUCAUCAUGGCCCUUACGACCUGGGCUACACACGUGCUACAAUGGCCAGUACAGAGGGCUGCAAGCCCGCGAGGGGGAGCUAAUCUCACAAAGCUGGUCGUAGUCCGGAUCGCAGUCUGCAACUCGACUGCGUGAAGUUGGAAUCGCUAGUAAUCGUGAAUCAGAAUGUCACGGUGAAUACGUUCCCGGGCCUUGUACACACCGCCCGUCACACCAUGGGAGUAGGUUGCAAAAGAAGUAGCUAGGCUAACCUUCGGGAGGCCGGUUACCACUUUGUGAUUUAUGACUGGGGUG
rnacentral:rRNA from 1 species